rnacentral:rRNA from 11 species
UGAUGUGUAAAUACUCUGAUGAUAGCACCAGAUUCUAUAUGAUAUUAGAAGCUAAAAAGGGUCAGCUCUAAUUAGUACUUGGAUAGGAGACCACCAAUGAAUACCAGGUGCUAUAGGUUAU